UACAGAGGGUGCGAGCGUUAAUCGGAAUUACUGGGCGUAAAGCGUGCGUAGACGGUAGCGUAAGUCGGAUGUGAAAGCCCCGGGCUCAACCUGGGAAUGGCAUUCGAGACUGCUCUGCUAGGGUGCGGAAGAGGGAAGCGGAAUUUCCGGUGUAGCGGUGAAAUGCGUAGAUAUCGGAAGGAACACCAGUGGCGAAAGCGGCUUCCUGGUCCAGCACCGACGUUCAGGCACGAAAGCGUGGGGAGCAAACAGGAUUAGAUACCCUGGUAGUCCACGCCAUAAACGAUGAGAACUAGACGUUGAGAGGGUAAGCCUCGCAGUGUCGUAGCUAACGCGCUAAGUUCUCCGCCUGGGGAGUACGGCCGCAAGGUUGAAACUCAAAG
rnacentral:rRNA from 1 species